rnacentral:rRNA from 1 species
AGAGUUUGAUCCUGGCUCAGAUUGAACGCUGGCGGAAUGCUUUACACAUGCAAGUCGAACGGCAGCACGGGGGCAACCCUGGUGGCGAGUGGCGAACGGGUGAGUAAUACAUCGGAACGUGCCCAGUCGUGGGGGAUAACGUAGCGAAAGCUACGCUAAUACCGCAUACGAACUGAGGUUGAAAGCGGGGGAUCGCAAGACCUCGCGCGAUUGGAGCGGCCGAUGGCAGAUUAGGUAGUUGGUGGGGUAAAGGCCUACCAAGCCGACGAUCUGUAGCUGGUCUGAGAGGACGACCAGCCACACUGGGACUGAGACACGGCCCAGACUCCUACGGGAGGCAGCAGUGGGGAAUUUUGGACAAUGGGCGCAAGCCUGAUCCAGCCAUUCCGCGUGCAGGAUGAAGGCCCUCGGGUUGUAAACUGCUUUUGUACGGAACGAAAAGGCGCGGGUUAAUACCCUGCGCUGAUGACGGUACCGUAAGAAUAAGCACCGGCUAACUACGUGCCAGCAGCCGCGGUAAUACGUAGGGUGCGAGCGUUAAUCGGAAUUACUGGGCGUAAAGCGUGCGCAGGCGGUGAUGUAAGACAGGUGUGAAAUCCCCGGGCUUAACCUGGGAACUGCAUUUGUGACUGCAUUGCUGGAGUGCGGCAGAGGGGGAUGGAAUUCCGCGUGUAGCAGUGAAAUGCGUAGAUAUGCGGAGGAACACCGAUGGCGAAGGCAAUCCCCUGGGCCUGCACUGACGCUCAUGCACGAAAGCGUGGGGAGCAAACAGGAUUAGAUACCCUGGUAGUCCACGCCCUAAACGAUGUCAACUGGUUGUUGGGUCUUCACUGACUCAGUAACGAAGCUAACGCGUGAAGUUGACCGCCUGGGGAGUACGG